GUGUUACAGGUGCGCAGCCUAGAAAUAAACGCGUUAAAAGGAUCAAGACUCUAUAGAGAUUUAUAAGCAAAUAUUCAGAUCUCACCCAAAGGCGUCCCAAUGGGGGGGGAAGAGAGGCUCAGCCCGUCGACUGAUCCCAGGAGUCAGGAGGUCCUAAGGAUGUUGUAUGUCCUUGGGAUGGUAUCUCCCCUGACGAUGGUAUCUUCCCUAACAUCCCCUCUCUCUUGGGCCAAUUUAUAUUAUUUUCUAUCUUUUAGGUGGAGCUUGAGUGGCUCCGAGAAAUUCAGAGCGCAUGCUCAGUGAGGGGUGGUCGCACCUUGGAGGCGGGUAGCUUUUGGGAUGGAGGUGUGUUUUGGUAUUAUAAUGAUAUUAUAAUGAGCAAAAAGUACACUAGGGUACAGCAUUUGUCAAAACAUGACAGGUCUUUGGCUUAGGGUGGCAAAAAGUGCAGCUUUGUGCACAAGAACAAUCGAGGCCCCACCUGAUUACAGAGCCUAGCCGUGGUGUCUCCACUCCACUCUACGUUCCGUGGUGUUCCUUAGAGCUAGCACACCAAGUUUCCCCAGCGCGAUAGCAUCUAAGGUUGGGAGCCUAGGGAAUGCUCAGAUAAUGCAGUUAUGCCCUACCCUGAAAGCCUCUUCAGUGCUGUACCUUUUCCUUAAAAGUGUGAAUGUUAGUUUUAUUUUCCUAGUUACUUCAGGCAUUUACACCACAGCACCCACAUAACUGAGAGCACUGCUAAUUCUCCUAACUGGCCAACUUAUUUUUAGAGUUGAAUUUCUACAAUGGAGGCUCUUAAAUAUUUAAAUAGAAGAACUACAAUUUUUCAAGCUUCCAGAUAAUUUUUGUAAAAAUAUUGAUAUGGAAAACAGAUGUUUAUGUGGGCAAAGUGGCAUUCUAUCAUACAAUGAUAAUCUCAGCUAAGUUUUUAAAGCUCUGAAAUUUGUUUGAAGUUUAAGCAAACUUACUGUCAGAAUAAAUUUACUUUAUCUGUAGGGAUAAGAGUAAGG
rnacentral:lncRNA from 1 species